rnacentral:lncRNA from 1 species
AACGGAGGCCACGCCCAGUCUGCACCUAGAAGCGAUCGACAUCACACGACUAUUUAUUAUCUGUAAUUAACGAAAAUAAAAUCCAAUUACGGUGUCUGUCGCUGUCUGUGAUGGAGAGCGUGCUCAGCGCGGCGCACACACGGUCCAGCUCGCCCCCGCGGCGGGACAGCUCCGCUAGCCUCUCAGGUGUUGUUGCGGCUGCCACAUUUUUGUAGUGCAUCCACAAUGUUUGCAGCGGCAUGGACAGAUGACUUCUAUGCCAUCAGACGCAAACAGAUCGAUCUGUGGACAUUGUGUAAUAAAUAUGAUAGCCAGAUCCUCUCAUUGUGGGUCAAAAUUAUUAUAG